rnacentral:rRNA from 1 species
AGAGUUUGAUCAUGGCUCAGGAUGAACGCUAGCGGCAGGCUUAACACAUGCAAGUCGAGGGGUAUAGUUCUUCGGAACUAGAGACCGGCCGACACGGGUGCGCUAACGCGUAUGCAACCUACCCUUUACAGGGGGAUAGCCCGGGGAAACCCGGAUUAAUACCCCAUAGUAUCUUUGAAUGGCAUCGUUUAAAGAUUAAAGAUUCAUCGGUAAAGGAUGGGCAUGCGUAGGAUUAGCUAGUUGGUGUGGUAACGGCACACCAAGGCGACGAUCCUUAGGGGUUCUGAGAGGAAGGUCCCCCACACUGGCACUGAGAUACGGGCCAGACUCCUACGGGAGGCAGCAGUAGGGAAUAUUGGUCAAUGGGUGAGAGCCUGAACCAGCCAUGCCGCGUGCAGGAAGACGGCGUUCUGCGUUGUAAACUGCUUUUAUACGGGAAGAAAAGGCCCAUGCGUGGGACAUUGCCGGUACCGUAUGAAUAAGCACCGGCUAACUCCGUGCCAGCAGCCGCGGUAAUACGGAGGGUGCAAGCGUUGUCCGGAUUUAUUGGGUUUAAAGGGUGCGUAGGCGGUCCUAUAAGUCAGCGGUGAAAGUUUAAGGCUCAACCUUAAAAUUGCCGUUGAUACUGUAGGACUUGAGUGCCGAUGGGGUACAUGGAAUUUAUGGUGUAGCGGUGAAAUGCAUAGAUACCAUAAGGAACACCGAUAGCGAAGGCAUUGUACUGAUCGGCAACUGACGCUGAGGCACGAAAGCGUGGGUAGCGAACAGGAUUAGAUACCCUGGUAGUCCACGCCGUAAACGAUGAUUACUCGCUGUUAUCUCUUUAAUGGGGUAGUGGCCAAGCGAAAGCGUUAAGUAAUCCACCUGGGGAGUACGCCGGCAACGGUGAAACUCAAAGGAAUUGACGG